rnacentral:lncRNA from 1 species
AUGCGACUGCCACGACCAAACACACUGCACCCGUGGGGAUGUUCCCUUGCCAACAAACGUUGUUGGCAUUUAUGUUUCAGAGGUCCAAGUGAGUAGGCACAAUGGCAGUUGUAGCACACAGCUACAGAAAUUCAGCCCAGCUGUCGGUCUUCAGCUGCUUUUCAUAGCGCGAGUGACGGAAUUCAAGGCACAAUUCAACCAUGACACCCUUGCUGUGCUGUUGGGUGCCAGAACAUGCAGAGAGGGCAGAGCCCGAUGUGGUCACCAACCUUUUGAGCCAAAUGGUGCAUGCACAAGGGAUAUCCUUGGAAUACAUCCACAACAGCUAAAAGCACAAAGCAUCGUCAGCUAGUGAAAUUACAAGCUGCAGCCAGUACCUGAGAGCCUGAAGAAGAGAAAUAUUUCUUUGAAAAACCGAUAUC